rnacentral:tRNA from 1 species
GCCGGGGUAGCCAAGCCUGGCAUGGCGAUGGAUAGGACUACGCUAAACCUGUCCCCUCAUUGCUAAUCCAUUGUUCGCAAGGACUCGUGGGUUCGAAUCCCACCCCCGGCG